rfam:Actinomyces sp. oral taxon 448 str. F0400 genomic scaffold SCAFFOLD2, whole genome shotgun sequence.
CUCGGUGGUCAUAGCGGAGGAGUCACGCCCGGACCCAUCCCGAACCCGGAAGCUAAGCCCUCCAGCGCCCAUGGUACUGCUCCCACCAGGGAACGGAAGAGUAGGACACCACCGAGC